GACGAACGCUGGCGGCGUGCUUAACACAUGCAAGUCGAACGGAAAGGCCCUGCUUUUGUGGGGUGCUCGAGUGGCGAACGGGUGAGUAACACGUGAGUAACCUGCCCUUGACUUUGGGAUAACUUCAGGAAACUGGGGCUAAUACCGGAUAGGAGCUCCUGCUGCAUGGGGGGGGUUGGAAAGUUUCGGCGGUUGGGGAUGGACUCGCGGCUUAUCAGCUUGUUGGUGGGGUAGUGGCUUACCAAGGCUUUGACGGGUAGCCGGCCUGGGAGGGUGACCGGCCACAUUGGGACUGAGAUACGGCCCAGACUCCUACGGGAGGCAGCAGUGGGGAAUAUUGCACAAUGGGCGGAAGCCUGAUGCAGCAACGCCGCGUGCGGGAUGACGGCCUUCGGGUUGUAAACCGCUUUCGCCUGUGACGAAGCGUGAGUGACGGUAAUGGGUAAAGAGGCACCGGCUAACUACGUG
rnacentral:rRNA from 1 species